GCACGAGGGAGACAGAGGAUGAAGUACAUGGAUGGAAUCAAGGAGGUGGUGGGAAGAGAGAAGAUGGAAGAAGUGGUGGAAUUGGGUGGGAAGAGAAGAGUGUGGCAUUCCAUUGUCGCCAGCGUCACCUGACACGGCACUGCGCUAAGUGCCCCCCACAUCAACUCAAAGAAAACGGAAUUGUUUCCAGUUUUCGUUUGCUGGAAGGGUGACUGCCUGCCUGACCCACUGACACACACACACACACACACACACACACACACACACACACACACACACACACACACACACACACACACACACACACACACACACACACACACACACACACACACACACACACACACACACACACACACACACACACUGACUCACCCGUGCCACAACGCCUCAUUGCCUGCUUGCUGGGCGGGGCAUCAGCUGUGCAUCGUAAACAAACCGGCGCUGCGAGAUCACCUUCAUGUAUCUCAGUCACUCUUUAAUCCUAAGCAGGUUCCUCACACUCUCCAGCUCGUGUUGGUGGUGUAAAUCAGGUUAUCUUUGCAAGGAGACGUGUUAAAAUAUGUACGAGUGAUCAUGUCCGGGAAAGUAAAUUUGUUAUCGUUGUGAGGGAGGAGUUUGAAUCUUUAUUGCCGGAGUAAAUCUGGUUUUUGUCAGAAGAGUUGGAAUCUGUACGAAUUUUUUGGGGUGUAAAUUAGUGAUUGGCCAAGAUUUACACAGGAUAGAGAUGAUUGGUUGAAAUUUACAGAAUGCAGAUAAUUGGCUAAGUUUUACAAAGAAUGGAGAUGAUUGGUUAAAAUUUACAGAAAUUGGAGAUGAUUGGUUAAAAUAGACAGAGAACAGAGAUGAUUAGUUAAAAUUUACAGAGAAUGGAGAUGAUUGGCUAAAAAUUUACAGAGAAUGGAGAUGAUUGGCUAAAAUUUACUGAGAAGAGAUGAUUAGUUAAAAUUUACGGAGAAUGGAGAUGACUGGUUAAAAUUUACAGAGAAUGGAGAUGAUUGGCUAAAAUUUACUGAGGAUGCAAUUGAUUGGCUAGGACUGAUGGAGGUGGAUGAAAUUCGGGAAUGUGAGAAGGAAAUAAGUAAGAAAAAUAAAAAUAAAAAACACGUCUUUUCACCUUAAUUAAGCAGUGCAUGUACUUAACAAUGAUGACACCAUACUUAUCACCAUAAAAAAGUAAAAAAAA